AUUGAACGCUGGCGGCAGGCCUAACACAUGCAAGUCGAACGAGUGGCGGACGGGUGAGUAAUGUCUGGGAAACUGCCCGAUGGCGGGGGAUAACUACUGGAAACGGUAGCUAAUACCGCAUACCAUCGGAUGUGCCCAGAUGGGAUGAGCUAGUAGGUGGGGUAACGGCUCACGUAGGCGACGAUCCCUAGCUGGUCUGAGAGGAUGACCAGCAACACGGGAACUGAGAGACGGUCCAGAGUCCUAGGGGAGGCAGCAGUGGGGAAGAGUGGACAAUGGGCGAAGGCCUGAUGAAGCCAUGCCGCGUGUAUGAAGAAGGGCUUCGGGUUGUAAAGUACUUUCAGCGAGGAGGCGUUACUCGCAGAAGAAGCACCGGCUAACUCCGUGCCAGCCGCCGCGGUAAUAC
rnacentral:rRNA from 1 species